rnacentral:rRNA from 1 species
AUUACUGGGCGUAAAGCGCGCGUAGGUGGUUUGUUAAGCUAGAUGUGAAAGCCCCGGGCUCAACCUGGGAAUUGCAUUUAGAACUGGCAGGCUAGAGUACAGAAGAGGACAGUGGAAUUUCUAGUGUAGCGGUGAAAUGCGUAGAUAUUAGAAGGAACACCAGUGGCGAAGGCGACUGUCUGGGCUGAUACUGACACUGAKGUGCGAAAGCGUGGGUAGCAAACAGGAUUAGAUACCCUGGUAGUCCACGCCGUAAACGAUGUCUACUAGCCGUUGGGACCCUUGUUGGUCUUAGUGGCGCAGCUAACGCAAUAAGUAG